UGGGGAAUUUUGGGACAAUGGGCGAAAGCCUGAUCCAGCAAUGCCGCGUGUGUGAAGAAGGCCUUCGGGUUGUAAAGCACUUUUGUCCGGAAAGAAAUCCUUGGCUCUAAUACAGUCGGGGGAUGACGGUACCGGAAGAAUAAGCACCGGCUAACUACGUGCCAGCAGCCGCGGUAAUACGUAGGGUGCAAGCGUUAAUCGGAAUUACUGGGCGUAAAGCGUGCGCAGGCGGUUUGCUAAGACCGAUGUGAAAUCCCCGGGCUCAACCUGGGACUGCAUUGGUGACUGGCAGGCUAGAGUAUGGCAGAGGGGGGUGAGAAUUCCACGUGUAGCAGUGAAAUGCGUAGAGAUGUGGAGGAAUACCGAUGGCGAAGGCAGCCCCCUGGCAAGUCACUGACGCUCAUGCACGAAA
rnacentral:rRNA from 1 species